CCUGUCCUUUCCUUACUCCCACCAAAAAACGCGUGUUACACCCUCACUCAUUCAACACUGCAAAAAUAAGAAAUCAGAAAAGGAAAAGCUAGAAAUCAGAGAUGGGGAGUGGGGAAUCGGAAGAACGCGAGAGAGGGAGAGGAGGGAACGGACAGCGCCGGCGGGAUAGGGGCCGCCAUCGCCAUCAAGGCCGAGAAACAAAGAGAGAGAGGGUCGACCGAGCAGAAGAGAAGCAAAGAUCGAGAGAGAGAAGACGCGAUUGAGGAGAAGAGGAAAGGGCGUUGUCUCGCGCUGUCGCCGCCGCGCCCUACCUCCGUCGCCGUUGGAGCUUCGACCGUCGAUGUCACCGGGGUGGUCGCCGUCGCUAGGAUUAGCCACUGCCACCAUCCGAGCUCGCUGCUGCUGAUGAUGGUAAGCCAAACCGUCGUCCUUGAUGCCGGAGAAGAACACCAGAGUUGCUGUUCUGGUUCCGAUUCCUCCAUUUCUGAAACUUAUGGGUGUCGAUGCUGUUUUUGGGACUGUGGUAGCUGCUGCUGGUUCUGUGUGAGGCUACCGCUUUUGCGAGAUAGGAAAAGGAAUUUGUCACAGUUAAGUUCCGGUUAAUUGAGUGACAGGCUCAAAGAUUUAGUGUGAAGCUGCGGGCGAAUAUUAGUCUUAUUAGAGGUAAGUUUAUGUGUUGAGUUGCUUUCAUAGAAUUCUCUUGUCCUUGUUAUUUAAGAUUUUAUUUUAUACAGAGGGAUAGGAGUUGUAUCUCAGUUUUAUUUGAAUUCUGUUGUAUGAUAUUUAUUAUUAUUAAUAACUAUGUGAUUAGUAUUGUUCGGGGAUUUUUGAUA